AUUUUUCUUAUAACCAACAUUUGAGAGAAAAAAUAUGUAUGCCGAUAUUAUUGAGAAAAAAUUGUAAAAUUGGAUGAAAUGAUUUUUUCUUGCAAUUGACCAAUUUCAACUCAAUAGUUAUUGGAAAUAGAAGCUAGUAUAUAGGUAAGGUGUCUACAGCACAAUUUAUGUGUUGAAAACGAGAGAUAUUAAUUACGUCAAAUAAAUUA
rnacentral:lncRNA from 1 species